rnacentral:rRNA from 1 species
AACGAACGCUGGCGGCGUGCCUAACACAUGCAAGUCGAGCGAGAAAGUUCCUUCGGGGACGAGUACAGCGGCGCACGGGUGAGUAACACGUAGGUAACCUACCCUCGAGCCCGGAAUAACCCGCCGAAAGGUGGGCUAAUGCCAGAUAGGACCACGGUGGUCACGGCCACCGCGGUGAAAGAUGGCCUCUGUUCACAAGCUAUUACUCGAGGAUGGGCCUGCGCGCCAUUAGCUAGUUGGUGAGGUAACGGCUCACCAAGGCGAUGAUGGCUAGCUGGUCUGAGAGGAUGGCCAGCCACACUGGGACUGACACACGGCCCAGACUCCUACGGGAGGCA